UUUGCGCACUAUAAAUCCUCCCUUCCCGGCAGUCUCAGUCUUUUCCGCUGUGGCGGCGGUUUGCAGACGGUGGCACUCUACACACAAACUCUGCAGAUCUCAAAGUGAACGUUUGUGCCAUUGGGUUCCUGUGAAGUGAUUUCCCCGCUGGAGCCAGUGCCAUGAACCCUGUGAUCAGAGUCCAGCAUAUACCUACAUCCACCUCAGUUUGCAGACGGUGGCACUCUACACACAAAGUUCAGAUGCUACAUGGCACCACGCAAGGACUGCAUGAGGAGAUGCCAGUUGUCAAACGUGACAGAUGGAGAAGACCAGAUUUGGAGAGGUGAUUAACACUCCAGGGGAUAAGUCUGAUGACAGCCCUGGGACACGAAGCCUCUUCAGAUACCAUGGCAAAAAGCUGGGCAGCCGAACGUAAGCCUGGGAAAAUCGGCGCCGAGGAUGAGCGACGGUCCAAGCACACCAGAGAAACCCACCAUGAUGCUAGGUGUGAGCAAGAUGGGUGCCCAGAAGACUGAGCCUUGAGCAGAGGCGACCAUGACCUGAUACUUUUGGGGAACUUCAGGGACAGGUCCAAGGGAUAUGCAGAAGAUGGACAAUGUGGUAAAUUGAAGCAACCGGUAAGGAGGUUCAGCCUCCCACUUUGUCUCCAGGUUCCUUGCCAAGCGUCUCAGAAGAUGUCAGUCCCAUUAUGGACUUGUAUUUUAAUCCUUUACAUUAAUGCGAUGAGCAUAAUACAUUCCCUAAAGUGAGACGCUAACGCCUUAGCAUCAAGAUUUAGCUCCGGGAAUAGGAGUUGUGGACCCAGUUGGGCUCAGUGAAAAUGUGUUAAUAAGAAACGAAGAGGCAGAGAUGGUGAAAUCGAAACAAAGCUGUAUGGACUUGUGCUUACUUUUUAUUUGUGCUCAGCUGAUUGAAGUAAAGCUGUGGCUUACCUCGUGUGGGUUUUAACUUGACCAACUGUAGCACAAAGUCUCAUCUACACUGGAGUGGGGUGGGGGUGGCCACUAGCAAAUGCAACCUAACAGCCUGCCUGGGCUCUCCAGAGAGCCUUGGCAAACAAACGUAAAAGGGAGAUAAAUGGGGGGAAUGAACAGAUUUUGGUGCAGUGGUUCUGCGUCAUGAGAGUAAUGGUGGAACUUGAAGCCAGUCUCGUGGUAGCCAGUCUCAUCUAUAGUUUGUGGCAUUUAAAGGACAAAUACCUGUUAAGGAAGGCCUGAAAAUUCCUCAAAGAAUGUUCUGAAAACUGUCUGGUGAAUAAAGGAACUGGUUUUAAAGUGUU